rnacentral:rRNA from 1 species
ACUCAAAUGAAUUGACGGGGACUCGCACAAGUGGUGGAUUAUGUGGCUUAAUUCGUCGGCAAACGAAGAACCUUACCAAGGUUAGAAAUGCAGCUGCAUCUCUUUUGAAAAAUUGAGAGCCUUCGAGGGUGCUGCACAGGUGAUGCAUGGUCGUCGUCAGUUCGUGGUUUGAACUGUUCCCUUCAGUGGGGUAACGAACGCAACCCCCGUUGCCUGUUAUAUUCUCAGGCGAGACUGCUCCCUCACGGGAGAGGAAGGUGGGGAUGACGCCAGAUCAGCAUGUCCCUCUGAUACCUUGGGCUGCACACAUAAUACAAUGGUCGGUACAAAAGGAUGCAAUACCGUAAGGUGGAGCAAAUCCCGAAAACCGUCCUCAGUACGGAUUGAGGUCUGCAACCGACCUCAUGAAGCUGGAAUCACUAGUAAUGGUAGGUCAGCCAAACUACCGUGAAUACGUUCUCGAGUCUUGUACACACCGCCCGU